UCUCCAGCCUCCUUUCAAAAAAAAAAAAAAAAACUCUCUCCAGCCUCCGCCGUUCCUACUGCCGUACUACCGCCGUACUACCGGCAAGGCCGGAGACGGCUACGGUCGCCAUGGAGGAUGAGAAGGCGGCCGCCGUGCCUCGCGUGGGAGGAUGGAGGAUGCCUCACCGGGGCGUGUGCUCGGGUCAGGGGCGGCGUCCUUGCCGGCGGGACUAGCGCCUAUCGGCUGCGGCUUCGCGCCAGGUCAGUCGCCGCGGUUGGCUUCUUCAAUUGACGGCAGUGGAGGCGGCCAAGCGAAGUGAUCUGUUGACAGGAAACAAGUGCUUUGGCUCAAGUUGGUACCUGGCAAUGCGAGUCCUUUUUCAUGAUGUGAGUCCUGAUCAAGAAAAUAAUGCAUUAGUGGCCGGAAUGAUAAACUGGAUAAAUAUACAUAGCUAAUCAAUCUGUAUUGUUUGCAAGUUACCGCUCGUUGCAUAGAGAGAAAUAUCUUUGUGCAUUGGAGCAUUCCAUUGGCUGCCAUAUGUUACCUAAGCUGACAGCCACAAGGUGUUGUGCUGUCCUCCUGACCUGGUCGCUGUUGAAUGCACUGCGGGGAAGACAACAGAGACAUGCUCCGGAUACUUGCGGGCACCAAUUGCCAUCUGGGCUACAUGGAGAAGGAUGAGAUAUGGAGGUUUGAUUCAUUUGAGGCUUUUGAGGAGAUAUGCUCGUUAGCAAAGCAGAAGGAGGUAGACUUUGUGCUUCUCGGUGGUGACCUGAUCCAUGAGGACAAGCCUUCGCGUUCGACCUUGGUGAAGACCAUUGUGAUUCUACGCCACUACUUCCUACCCCUCUGUCCCAUAAUGUAAGACAUUUUUUGACACUACAGUAGUGUCAAAAAGCCUUACAUUAUGGGACGAAGGGAGUAAAUGAUAUACCAGUCAAGUUUCAGGUUGUCAAUGAUCAGACAGUCAACUUCCCAAACAGGUUGAGCAAUGAAUCUCAAAGCUCAACGUUCCAUUUCAUAAUGUUCCUUCGAAUUUUGGAAUCACUCGAUUUAAAUUCAAGAAGGACGAACCAUGCAUGGAUCGUCGGAGCGAAUUGGAUGAUCGGGCCAAGGGCUGCCCCCUCUUCCCCUCGCUCUCCUUUCCUUAAUAUUCACCGUCCACAUGAGUUUCCAUGAGCAAGCCUGUUACUUUUAACGUAUUUUGAUCUUAUUAAUCUCUUUAGCAUGCAUGAAAACCGCAGGAAAGAUGUGCGCAAUCAUAUUCUUGUACUUCAUGUUCGCAGAUGAAUUUUCCUCUUGCAUUACCAGUUUUGGCCAUGUAAACUAUGAAGACCCACAUUUCAAUGUUGGCUUGCAUGUGUUCACUAUCCAUGGAAAUCAUGAUGAUCCUGCUGGUGUAGUAUGAGCUUCUUUUUAUGAUCUUUUGAAUCGUAUGGGUUUCUACUGAAAUUGUCUGUAUUAUGUCUCUCGACUUUCUUUUAUGCAUUCGUUCAUUUUGCCUCAUUGUAGGAUAACCUCUCUGCUAUCCAUAUCCUUUCGGCUUGCAAUCUUGUAAACUAUUUUGGGAAGAUAGACCUUGGCGGCUCCGUUGUUCGUCAAAUAGUUGUCCAUCCAGUACUUGUUAAAAAGGGUACAACUACAGUUGCACUAUAUGGCCUUGGGAACAUUUGAGAUGAGCGACUGAACAAAAUGUUUCAGGUGCCUUUCCAUUCUGGUGUACAUAUAGGUAGGCCGGCAUUGGCAUUCGCCAUCUGGCAUCCCAAUGAGAUGAUGAGGAGGUGACUGCUGCUAUAAACCAAACAAAAGCAAAAUUCAAUUUAAUUGUAGAGAUGGGCAUACAUACAUGCAUAUGCGCGCGGGGGCCGAUGAUUGGAUCAAACUCCUGAUGAUUAGCUUCUUAUACUCUAUUCUUGUGUUCAUGGCAAGGGAAAUUAUCUUCUUAUUUUUGUUGAUUCAGUAUAGUGGUUGACACCUGAGCUGAAACCUGAAAACAUCUCAACCUGUUUGUUGGCCAUUUCAAUGUGUCAUCUUAUUGGAAAACUAUUAGCUGCAGAAUUUAGCCACAGAACGCGCGUAUAGCCUACGGAGAGAAUAACGUGCGCGGCAUGGCCAAGGAAGAGAAACGCGAGCGGCUGUCAUGGCUCUCGCUGGACACGAACGGCGCUUGCACCAGGUUGGUCUGCUUGUAGCUGUUGCAUCUCCAGGUUUAUUAAUGAUGCUAUUUUUUUUCAUUCUAUACUCCGUUUAAAUUUCAGUUCAAAUUUAUAGUUUAAUGCUCUGUAGGGAAGCACAGACAUUAUGCUAUAUUAUGAUCAUCUUUUAUGUGUCUACUGGAACCACCGGAUUAAAGUUGUUCUUUCUUUUGAGGGAUAGACUUUGUUUUGAUGUUUCAACAAAAAAUGCAGCUGGUACAAUCGGAUUUAGCAAACAAAUGGGUGACCAAGCAUGGUGCUGUUGCACUUGCUUGCCUUGGCUAUGGAGAGAAAUUAUGUAACGAAGUUAGUAAUUUAUAAUGUUCGCAGCCCAUUGUUCGUGCUUAUAUUUGCAGUAAACAAGUUAAAUAAAUCGGUGUGUGCUAUGAAAAACAAAGGAAGAAAACUUACUCCUUUUAACUAUUGUAUGAAGUAUAUAUUAAUAUUUUUUGAGGGCAAGUAUAUAUUAAUAUUAGGUAGAGGUAGAAGAGAUGCUUUCUAUGCGAGAAUAGUUUUUUCUUCAAGAAUGACCCUUACUUUUGAAUAGAUCAUAACGCCGUAGGGUCUGGAUGUUACUAUGCAGCACUGGUGGGCGUUUUGGCUACCUUUUUUUUUAGCUAAACACAGUGUUAUGCUUGCACAUAUUAUUCUCAUCAAAUUAAAAAAUUUAGUACAUUUCUCCCGUUGUAACGCACGGGCAUACAUGCUAGUAUAAUAUAUAUCAAAGUAUAUACAGUAUUGCUUUUUCAUAGUUCUCACCAGCAUCGUCUCAGAAAAAAUGAAAAAUACUCCCUCCGUCCCCAAAAACAUGUCGCGAGGGCGAUUUUGCAAAAAAAACCUCUAAUUUCUCCCGACCAAACCCGCGCUCCCUCGUCGUCCUCCUCCGACAGAAGCCGCAUCUGCGCUGCUCCCCGCCGCCGCAGCUGCGCUGCUCCCGGCCGCUGCAGCUGCCCUGCUCCCCGCGAACGCAGCUCCCUGCUCCCCCGCUCCGUCGCCGCAGCUGCCUCCUGCUCCGCCGCCGCACCUGCCCCUCGCCUGCCUCCCCAAGCUCCCCCUUCCUCAUAAAAAUCUUCGAUUUCCCCGGCUACCGCCGCGCUCUGCUCCGGCUGCGUAGGAACCGGCGUUAGUGAGCCCGGAGGCGCUGGAUCCUGACCAUCACCAACAAUCUAAAGGUCGAUGAGGCCGACGAGCCCCAUGGCGACAGGAGAUGCAACAAGGUAAACGCCGAUGAGCCUAACGACAACAGCAACCUAAAGCUUGUGGAUUUGCGAGUGUUGAAGACGGCGACGACAACUCCACUAGGAAUACGACCGCGGCGGCUUCUUCUUCGUUGUUUCUCUGGUGGAAGACCCGCGCCUGCGACACCGCGGCAGCAGCGGCGGCUGUCCAGUGGGUCGUCCCUGCUCACUUGGCAGCAGCGGCGGCGGCUACAAAUCUUCUCCAGCCUGGGUCAUCUCCGUCAUCAACGCCUACAGCCUGGGUAUGAACCUCUCUUCUCUACUCAUCUACUGAAUGUACUGAACGUGCGUAGUAUCUGAACUGAAUUUUACUGAAUGUGUGUAUUCUCUGUCUACUGAAUUUUAGUGAAUGUACUCCUGUAAACUGAAUGUACUCUUGUAAAGUGUGCUGUCAAC